rnacentral:rRNA from 1 species
AGAAUCAACGCUGGCGGCGUGCCUAACACAUGCAAGUCGAACGAGAAAGUGGUAGCAAUACCAUGAGUAAAGUGGCGCACGGGUGAGUAACACGUGACUAACCUACCCUUGAGUGGGGGAUAACUGAGGGAAACCUUAGCUAAUACCGCAUAAUACCCACGGGUCAAAGGAGCAAUUCGCUCGAGGAGGGGGUCGCGGCCGAUUAGUUAGUUGGCAGGGUAAUGGCCUACCAAGACGAUGAUCGGUAUCCGGCCUGAGAGGGCGCACGGACACACUGGAACUGAAACACGGUCCAGACUCCUACGGGAGGCAGCAGUGGGAAUUUUGCGCAAUGGGGGAAACCCUGACGCAGCAACGCCGCGUGGAGGAUGAAGUCCUUCGGGACGUAAACUCCUUUCGAUCGGGACGAUUAUGACGGUACCGGAAGAAGAAGCCCGGCUAACUUCGCGCCAGCAGCCGC